AGAGUUUGAUCAUGGCUCAGAUUGAACGCUGGCGGCAGGCUUAACACAUGCAAGUCGAACGGUAACAGAACUAGCUUGCUAGUUGCUGACGAGUGGCGGACGGGUGAGUAACGCGUAGGAAUCUACCGAAUAGUGGGGGACAACAGUUGGAAACGGCUGCUAAUACCGCAUACGCCCUACGGGGGAAAGGAGGGGAUCUUCGGACCUUUCGCUAUUUGAUGAGCCUGCGUGAGAUUAGUUAGUUGGUGGGGUAAUGGCUCACCAAGGCGACGAUCUCUAGCUGGUCUGAGAGGAUGAUCAGCCACACUGGGACUGAGACACGGCCCAGACUCCUACGGGAGGCAGCAGUGGGGAAUAUUGCACAAUGGGGGAAACCCUGAUGCAGCCAUGCCGCGUGUGUGAAGAAGGCCUUCGGGUUGUAAAGCACUUUCAGUUGUGAGGAAAGGUUAAGGGUUAAUAACUCUUAG
rnacentral:rRNA from 1 species